AAAAGGCCGCAAUAGGGGCGCUGUUGAUCUGGUCAGGCCCGAAAGGGAGCAGCCACGGCAGGUCCGCUUCUAUGUGCGGCCUUUUAUU
rnacentral:SRP_RNA from 1 species